UCCGAAUUGGUGUAGUGGCUAACAUUUGACGCUCUCAUCCGCUCUCCUCCCUCCUUAAUCAGAGGUUAAGAAGUAGUAUUUGUGCCGUCAAGCCCGGGGUUCGAUUCCCCGAUUCGGAG